GGCCGCGUGGCCUAAUGGAUAAGGCGUUCGACUUCGGAUCGAAAGAUUGCGGGUUCGACUCCCGUCGUGGUCG